CAGCAGCCACGGGAAUACGAAGGGGGCUAGCGUUGUUCGGAUUUACUGGGCGUAAAGCGCACGUAGGCGGACUUUUAAGUCAGGGGUGAAAUCCCGGGGCUCAACCCCGGAACUGCCUUUGAUACUGGGAGUCUUGAGUUCGAGAGAGGAGAGUGGAAUUCCACGUGUAGCGGUGAAAUGCGUAGAGAUGUGGAGGAACACCUGUGGCGAAAGCGGCUCACUGGACCAUAACUGACGCUGAUGCACGAAAGCUAGGGGAGCAAACAGGAUUAGAUACCCCAGUGUCCCUGUCUCUUAUACC
rnacentral:rRNA from 1 species